UCGAACUGGAGAGUUUGAUCCUGGCUCAGAGCGAACGCUAGUGGCGGGCUUAACACAUGCAAGUCGAGCGCUUCACUUCGGUGAAGAGCGGCGGACGGGUGAGUAACACGUAGGUUACCUACCCUUUGGUGGGGGAUAACCCAGGGAAACUUGGGCUAAUACCGCAUAUGGACUACGGUUCAAAGUCUUCGGACGCCAGAGGAGGGGCCUGCGGCCCAUUAUUUAAUCCUUGUUGGUGAGGUAAUGGCUCACCAAGGGUACGAUGGGUAGCUGGUCUGAGAGGAUGAUCAGCCACACUGGGACUGAGACACGGCCCAGAC
rnacentral:rRNA from 1 species